rnacentral:rRNA from 1 species
AUACGGAGGAUGCGAGCGUUAUCCGGAUUUAUUGGGUUUAAAGGGUGCGUAGGCGGGAGUUUAAGUCAGCGGUGAAAGUUUGAGGCUCAACCUUAAAAUUGCCGUUGAAACUGGAUUUCUUGAGUGUAUUUGAAGUAGGCGGAAUUCGUUGUGUAGCGGUGAAAUGCAUAGAUAUAACGAAGAACUCCAAUUGCGCAGGCAGCUUACUAAACUACAACUGACGCUGAAGCACGAAAGCGUGGGUAUC